UACGUAGGGUGCAAGCGUUGUCCGGAAUUACUGGGCGUAAAGGGCUCGUAGGCGGCCAACUAAGUCAGACGUGAAAUCCCUCAGCUUAACUGGGGAACUGCGUGUGAUACUGGAUGGCUUGGAUUUGGGAGAGGGAUGCGGAAUUCCAGGUGUAGCGGUGAAAUGCGUAGAUAUCUGGAGGAACACCGGUGGCGAAGGCGGCAUCCUGGACCAAUAUUGACGCUGAGGAGCGAAAGCCAGGGGAGCAAACGGG
rnacentral:rRNA from 1 species